UUUCUUGCAUAUUUCCACUGGUAUUUUAAGAAUUUAUCUGGUGAUGAGCUUCAAGUCUUUGAGGUUGGAAAGCGUUAUUGCUAAUGAAAACACCAUCCAGGUAUAAAAACAGGCACCCCAACAUUAUUUUUUCCUUUUCUAUCUUUAAUUUCUCAUUGUGAUAAUGUUUUUAAUGUUAUUUCAGUUAUUCGGUGUGAUUCUACAUAUCACCGCUAGGAGCGCAUGUCGCAUUCGUGGAGUAGAGAAGGUGAAGGACACAGAAGAAGAAUAAACCGUUUAGAUGCUAAACGAAGCUCAACCUGUGUCACAUCACAGGGUAGACUCUCAUUGGGCCAACCGUCCAGAUCAGAGUCCUCACCACACACAGAGCCAUCGCCAGCAAAGCCAACAGCACACGAGCAUUUAAACAAGACCUCUGAUGCCAGGCCCAGGCCGUACAGCUGGUUGCCUUUGUACCGAGGAGGACAAGGAAGGCAGUAGAAUCCAGGAUCCGUGUUCACGCAUUUUGUAAAACACACCUCAGCCACUUCACACUGCAGACACAGAGAUCCUUCAUCCCACCAGAGGCUUGUGUUUCACAUUUCAGGUUGUCAUGACUCCACAUUUGCUCAGCACUGACCUGGCAAGCACAGGAGGUGCAGCUGUCAACCUCCCAGACAUCCCCCUGCUCGUACACUCGUCCAUCCUGCAUGCACCACACCUCCCCGUCCCUGUCCCUGUCCAGAUCUUCCAGCAGGUUGUUGGUCACGAUCCGCAGACCGUGGAUCUCKGUGAUCAAAUCCAGCAGCUCAUCGCAAGGAUGGUGACACA